GAUGAACGCUGGCGGCGUGCCUAACACAUGCAAGUCGAACGGACAGGCCCUGCUCUUGCGGGGUGCUCGUUUGGCGAACGGGUGUGUAACACGCGAGUAACCUGCCCUUGACUUUGGGAUAUAUUCAGGAAACUGGGGCGAAUACCGGAUAGGAGCUCCUGCUGCACGGUGGGGGUUGGAAAGAUUCGGCGGUUGGGGCUGGACUCGCGGGUUAUCAGCUUGUUUGUGAGGUAGGGGCUUACCAAGGGUUCGACGGGUAGCCGACCUGGGAGGGUGGCCGGCGUCAUUGGGACUACGAUACGGAGCAGAAUGCAACGUGAGGCAGCGGUCGGAAAUAUUGCGCAAUGGGCGGGAGCCUGAUACGACGGCGCCGGGUGCGGGAUGCCGGCCUUCGGGUUGUGAACCGCUUUCGACUGUGACAUGGCGGGAGUGACGGUAAUGGAUCAGAAAGCAACGGCUAACUACGUG
rnacentral:rRNA from 1 species